rnacentral:lncRNA from 1 species
AAAACUUAAAACAUAACGUACUUGCAGCAAAAAUUACAUCUACAGUUGAAAUUAUCCGAGAAUGCGAUUGCACUCAUGUGUAUGCAAGCUCAAGUUAGAAAAUAAGUGGAUCCUGUGUUAGGGUCAUCCCAUAGAUAUAAUUCUUCUACUGUUGCAUGGUCUAUCCUUCCAGUAAGACAUCAGAUCAUGCAAUUUGAAUUCUGAGCUCAGUUAGGUGGAUAAAAUGUUCAUUAUCAAGAUUCGGGGAGAAAAGAAAAAGCAGUUAUUGCAGUCGAAGCUAAGAAAUGCCUACAGCCGCCAGCAUUGCUAUAAAACGAAGACCUAAUACCAACUACAGCCGGGACAACUCGAAGUUUUACCAAGUCCCAACAGUAAACACACCAAAGCAAAAUCCUAGAUAUUACUCAUCAAAAGGAAAGGAAA